CGUGGGCUCAGGUGGUUCACUAAGCAAUGGUGGGCCUGCAACGGUGCUAAUUGACUUUGCAAUUGUUGGCGUGAUGAUCUUUAACGUCGUCUAUGCUCUUGGUGAACUUGCUGUCACGUUUCCAGUCUCUGGUGGUUUCUAUACGUAUUCAACCCGUUUUAUUGACCCUUCCUGGGGUUUCGCCAUGGGAUGGAACUAUGUUUUCCAAUGGGCUAUAGUCUUGCCGAUUGAACUCACAGUUGCGGCCAUAGUAAUCGGGU
rnacentral:sRNA from 1 species